GUGCCCUGUCUGCUACUCUCCCUGCAAUAAAAUCGCCUUACCAAUUCCACCCUAAGGAGUUGUAGGAGUGCUCAUUUAAUCACGAAUCCCCCACAUUUUUGCAUGAUCAAAGACUAUGUACAUGGUUCUAGCAGAGGCUACAGUGGUCUGUGCCAACCAACAACAACAUAGAGCCCAAAUAAUACAUUUCUGAAACUCUGAAGUAGUAAGAUGGGAAGUACAGGCUGGAAAAGGAUAUGAUCAUUCAAGAUGGAAAAGGCACCACUGAAGUGAUAGCAAUUUGUAAUGUCCUUUAAGGAUGAAUGUGGAGCCCUUGACAGACUGGUCAGAAAUUUAAGGAAACUACUACCAAGGCAAUCAGCUGUCUACCUGAGGGAGGAAGAGAAGAAUGUAGGAAGUGAAGACAAUGCAUUUUGAGGCAGUGCAGAAUGCAGAGUAAAGGAGAUUCCUUAAUCUCAGGUGUCACAAGAGCAUUGCUUCACAUUACCCUGCAUUGCCUCCGCAGCAACCAUAGACAAGAGAGGAAAUGGUCACAUAAGGAAGAGUUUCUCUUCUGGAAUGACAGUUAGGAUUCUCCCCCAGCUCUCACAUUCAUCAAUGCUGUGUCUGUAGGGACUUGAUAUAAUUCCCAAGACCUGUGAUACUGGGUUUGAUCAUAAAGAAAUUGCAAUGUGACACCAGAGAUAUGACUGCAUCAUCAUAUGAUAUGGGAUCUUCUGCAAAAUGGAUCUUUUCUGAUACAGAACUUCAAACUCUGAGAAAAACAUUUAUAUAUCCACAGUUCCAGAUCCGAGUAUGGUUUUAUUUGCUCAAGCCUACCUGAAUCCACACUCAAACAUGAAGAGCAUAACUACAACCGAUUAAAAGAAAUCUGAAUUUAUAUAAAAAACAAAGCAGUUAUCUUUUUUCUUUCUCAGAAUAUUUUCCUGAAUAUUUGUCCUACUUCAGAGUAACAACCAGAGAAUUCUGAAUCUUAACAACUUAUGCACAACUGAAAAGAACUGCAAAAGCAUUCAGGUAUAACUCUCUGGAGGAUGGAGAGGUUAUUUUCUGGUUUUCAUGAUCAUGAUACCAAAAAAAAUCCCCAAGAAGAUUAUUCAUUCUGGUUCCAAGAACUGAUUUUUUUCCAAUGCAGUUCACUAAGGGAUUUAAGCUUAUUUCUCACAGUGAUGUACUUCCUUUACCAGUGCUGAUUAACAUUGAUUCUGACCCCAGUUCAUCUCAGUUAUAUAAAAAUAUGGCCUUACUGAGAGGCAAUUUUUAGCGCUCCUCAUGCAGAAGAUCAUUGCUUUCUGCGUGGAGAAGAUGCAAAGAAUGAGGAAUGGAAGAGAUCUCAUUGCAUGGUUUUUAAAGUUCUGUUAUACUUAGGACUGAAUAAAUCACUAGUUUUCCCUAAAAAAAAAAAAAACAAAAUUGUUUUCUUAAUGUCUAAACUUAACCUCUGACAUACAGAAUUAAUAAAACAUUCCUGUAAACAAUCACCCAAUACAAAAUCCAAAAAGUUUCUGAUCUCCAACUCAGGUUAACCUUAAAAAAAAAAAACCUACGGAAUUUGUUUUAAAUAAUUGAAUUCUGACUCACAACAAUAAUAUGUACAAUAGCUGCUACUAAAAUAUUAUCAUUUAACCUGUCAUAUAAAUAAUUGUAUGGUGAUGUAACUCUAUUCCCUAGAGAAUAUUUGAUCUUCAACCUUCAGUAGGUUAGUCUAGGUAUCACUCAGAUUUAACUUAGGCUUUAAUUUGGGAGUUCAUUGAAUGCAUAUGGCUCAAUUUAGUCCUCUCUGCAGAUGAUUCUCAUUCAAACAGUGGUUAUGUCUGACAUUUUUCUUGCUAAUGCCAGUAAUGUUGGAAACUGAAAUAAGAAUGCACUUAGGGAACAGAUAAUAUAUGAUUAGACCAUUACGUCAGAGUUGAUUUCUUGAAUGUUUUUACAACAUGGUAUUUGUUAUUUCCUUUAUUAGUGGUCAAAUGUUUACUAAAGUUUUCAGAUGUUACUAACAGUGAACAAAUGCCCACUUUAUCCUAUAUACUUCUGAUUCAGCUAAAAAUCUCGUUUUUACCUCUUUUUGCUAAAUAUAAGGGUAUAAUGUGUAUACCCCAUUCCGUUUUUCUUUCAUAUUUUUUUGGAAGCAGGUACAUGUUUUGUAGUAUCUGAUGUCUCUUUCUGGCAAUUUUCCUUCACAAAAUAUUUACAAGGAGUUGUGGCUCCUCUUCUGACACUUGUGGAAUUUUUCAGUAUGAGACAUCUGACUUGCUACCAACAGUACUAGGAACUAAAUUCAACUUUGGGAACUGCUAAUCAAGGUUUAAUACACAACAUUUUUUAACACUUUCUACUUGCCAGAAGAGGAAUUCUGUGAAUACUACUACCUCUAGUGUCUGGGGAACAGAAUCACACAUACCAUGAGAUUAAUACUUUGCUUAGCAACAGUUUAACGCUUAAGCUUUGCCAACACAAUGCCACCAUUGGUAGCUUAGUUAUUGUCUUUUCUUGU